UUUUCUCAGUUUUUUUUUUUUUUUUUUUUUUUCCAAUUUUGAACACAAGUCACCAUCAAUGGGUGUACUCUCAUUUUGAAAUAAAGAAUGAAAGUGUUUUGAAAAAAAAAAAAA
rnacentral:ribozyme from 1 species